UGGAAGAAAAGUGGGGCAUCCAGACUAAGUUUGAAAAUAAGAGAGUAAGAAAAGUGAAGCGUCACUUUGAACUUUCAAUAAAUGAAAGGUUUCAGGAUCUUGAACAAUGCUUUAAAACCACUGUUUUAUAGGUGUUUAGACAUUGGGACCAAUAAGCUGUCUAACCGAUUUGCUUGAAUGUCAUGCAGAGAUUUAAUAUAAUUCAGCCUACAGUCCUUGCCUCUGAAAUUGAUGAUGAUUUGUUCAAAGCUGCUUCACAGCUACAGGAAUGCUACCCAGAGGACAUAUC